UACGGAGGAUCCAAGCGUUAUCCGGAUUUAUUGGGUUUAAAGGGUGCGUAGGCGGCCUAUUAAGUCAGGGGUGAGAGACGGUGGCUCAACCAUCGCAGUGCCUUUGAUACUGAUAGGCUUGAAUACACUAGAGGUAGGCGGAAUGUGACAAGUAGCGGUGAAAUGCAUAGAUAUGUCACAGAACACCGAUUGCGAAGGCAGCUUACUAUGGUGUCAUUGACGCUGAGGCACGAAAGCGUGGGGAUCAAACAGG
rnacentral:rRNA from 1 species